rnacentral:rRNA from 1 species
CCCUUAGAUGUCCUGGGCCGCACGCGCGCUACACUGACAUGUUCAACAAGCCUCCUAGUUCGACAGGAUUUGGGAAAUCUUUGAACGCAUGUCGUGAUAGGGAUAGAUCAUUGCAAUUAUUGAUCUUGAACGAGGAAUUCCUAGUAAACGCGAGUCAUCAGCUCGCAUUGAUUACGUCCCUGCCCUUUGUACACACCGCCCGUCGCACCUACCGAUUGAAUGUUUCGGUGAAGAUUCCGGAUAGGACUUUUUUGAUUUAUUUCAAUUUUGUCUUAAAAGCUAUCUAAACCUCAACAUUUAGAGGAAGGUGAAGUCGUAGCA